GCGCCCGUAGCUCAGGGGAUAGAGCGCUAGGUUGCGGACCUAGAGGUCGCAGGUUCGAUUCCUGCCGGGCGUACCA
rnacentral:tRNA from 1 species